rnacentral:rRNA from 1 species
CCGUGCGGCACUAGCGCGGUGGUCCCACCUGACCCCAUGCCGAACUCAGAAGUGAAACGCCGUAGCGCCGAUGGUAGUGUGGGGUCUCCCCAUGUGAGAGUAGGGAACUGCCAGGC